rnacentral:rRNA from 1 species
UAGGGAAUAUUGGUAAUGGGCGAAAGCCUGAACCAGCAACGCCGCGUGUGCGAUGAAGGCCUUCGGGUCGUAAAGCACUUUUUGGAGGGAUGAGGAAGGACAGUACCUCCAGAAUAAGCCUCGGCUAACUACGUGCCAGCAGCCGCGGUAACACGUAGGAGGCAAGCGUUAUUCGGAUUUACUGGGCGUGAAGCGCGUGCAGGCGGUUCGGAAAGUUGGAUGUGAAAGCUCCUGGCUUAACUGGGAGAGGUCGUUCAAUACUUCCGGACUUGAGAGUGGGAGAGGGAGGUGGAAUUCCGGGUGUAGUGGUGAAAUGCGUAGAUAUCCGGAGGAACACCAGUGGCAAAAGCGGUCUCCUGGCCCAUUUCUGACGCUCAGACGCGAAAGCUAGGGUAGCAAACGG